CAGCAGCCGCGGUAAUACGGAGGGAGCUAGCGUUGUUCGGAAUUACUGGGCGUAAAGCGCACGUAGGCGGCUUUGUAAGUUAGAGGUGAAAGCCUGGAGCUCAACUCCAGAACUGCCUUUAAGACUGCAUCGCUUGAAUCCAGGAGAGGUGAGUGGAAUUCCGAGUGUAGAGGUGAAAUUCGUAGAUAUUCGGAAGAACACCAGUGGCGAAGGCGGCUCACUGGACUGGUAUUGACGCUGAGGAGCGAAAGCGUGGGGAGCGAACAGGAUUAGAUACCCCUGUAGUCCCUGUCUCUUAUAU
rnacentral:rRNA from 1 species